GAGGACCAGAUGAGGACCACAGCACCAGAUGGACAGCGGCGGUGGUCUUUCUUUCAGUGGGCUGAGCAGGACUCCACUGGACUUUCGUCUCACUCUUGGGGAAGCUGAUGGUGGGCGUCAACCAUCCCGAUGCCCAGACCCCCAGCAGACCUCUGAACCCCUCUCAGCACCCCAGAGUCCAAGACCCAGUGAAUAAGGUCCUAGCUGCCCCCCCACCCCGACACCACCCGCCAGCCAGGAGGACGAGGAGGGUCCCGUCCCCACCAGCAGAGGACGUAGUUUGUUUCCAUCUGCUUCUUCUGUGCCGACGGGUUCGGGAAGCUCCUCCCACACAGGAAGCGCCUCACACACAGGAAGCUGUCAUCCGCUGUUUGCAUCAUCUGCUGACAAGAAAUCAAGGAGGAGACUGAAGCUUCAGGCUGAACGAGAAAUAACCAUCUAAAAACGUUCAAAUGUCAUUUGUCGCAUAAAAUCCCGUAUGUUCAUGUUCAUGUAUGUACAGUAUUGUUACUGUUUAUUUGCUGAGUAGCACAAUUAUAUACAUGUUCAACAAACCUUCUCGAUGUCUUUCUUUAUAUUGUAUCAUUUUUCUGAUAUAGUGAAAAUAUCUGACAAUGUAUGACACUUUAUAUACAAUAAAUAUUCUCCCUUUUUGAUUUCCA